UACAGAGGUCCCGAGCGUUGUUCGGAUUCACUGGGCGUAAAGGGUGCGUAGGUGGUGAGGUAAGUCGGAUGUGAAAUCUCCGAGCUCAACUCGGAAAUGGCAUUGGAAACUACCUUGCUUGAGGGUUUGAGGGGGGAUUGGAAUUCUCGGUGUAGCAGUGAAAUGCGUAGAUAUCGAGAGGAACACCAGUGGCGAAGGCGAAUCCCUGGACAACUCCUGACACUGAGGCACGAAAGCUAGGGGAGCAAACAGG
rnacentral:rRNA from 1 species